rnacentral:rRNA from 1 species
GACAGAGGUGCCAAGCGUUAGGCGGAAUCACUGGGCUUAAAGCGUGUGUAGGCGGAAUGGUAAGUACCUUGUGAAAUCCCACGGCUCAACCGUGGAACUGCUUGGUAUACUGCUUUUCUUGAGCCACUUAGGGGCUGUCGGAACAAACGGUGGAGCGGUGAAAUGCGUAGAUAUCAGGAAGAACACCCAUGGCGAAGGCGGCUCUCUGGAACGCAACUGACGCUGAGACGCGAAAGCGUGGGGAGCAAACAGG